CAAGAAGUCUAAAUAUCCUCUUUCCCACUACUUGUGCACCAACAAGAAAACAAAGGCUGACCAGCAGCUGCAUCUUCCAAGAGAGGGCAUCUUGGUGUUGUAGACAUUUCCAGGGAUCAAGGGGAAGAAAAAUAAUGCAGUUUUAAUAGUGACCAACAACAGACCACCAAGAUUUCCGCCAUCAAGCAUGUGAUGCAGGGUUCACAGAUGUACGGUAACCUGAAGAUCAGGGUGACAUUGGGUUAAACGCCAGGACUCCCACCACUCUCAGGGAUUGUGAACUUUGACCGCCUGCCCACUGUGGAGAAGUGCUAAGCUGCUAAUCCUUGGGAUCUGAAGGAAAACUCUCCGAGGGCCCCUCUUUUCAUGUCAUCACAACGCCUCAAACCAGUGUGAGCUCAAGCGCCUGGUUGAUGUGGUGAGCUGGCAGAGCAAGUCAGAACAUGGGAGGGAGACAUUUAUCAUCCUCUCUCUGGACUACAGCCUCCAGUGGAAAUCAUGUGGACAGGACAGACAGCACAGACAGAGAGUGGAAAAGAAAUCAUUGAUGUUUUUCAUAAUUAGGGAACCAUUGUUUUUUUGUUUUUUUAAUUUUCAUGAGUUUAGUUUGAGUUUACAAAUGGCUGUAUUUUUGAAGUCUCGUUAAGUUCUGUACAUUAUGUGCUGCAUGUCUGUCACAUAGAAAAGAAGAUGUAUGGACAUCAAGACAGCAAACAGUUGCCAAGUUCCCACUCUCCACAGAAGGUUUCUCAUGUAUCAUCCUCUGCACUUUUUCAGGAGCUAUCUCUGUCUAGUUUUCUGUCAUUCGUCCUGAGAUGCUCUCUGUCUUGCUGAAUGGUAGUACACACAAAGGUACUGUACACUGCGUUAAGAGUCUUUUGGCCUGCCCAGGGUAGUUUCCCCCUUCAAAACAUUGUGAUAAUGUUGAAGUCCUAAAUUAUACCCAGAUGAGUGUCAAGUGCAUACAUUGAGCUCUUGUCUGUACAAAGCAAGCUCAAUCUGUCCUAUACACACACAAGACACUGAUGGAUCAUUCUAGUCACAGAAGUGAGUGUCAUUGCUUGGAAUACGCACUUGGCCUAAUUUCAGACCCAUUAGUAUCAAGGAUUU